rfam:Trypanosoma brucei brucei strain 927/4 GTTat10.1 chromosome 9, whole genome shotgun sequence.
CCUCGCAAAAUAACAAUUUCAUAAAACUCAUGAAAUUUAAAAAAACUUUUAAAAUAACAACACCAAAAGAGCAGCAACAAUCAGAGAUAUUUCAUAUUUACAAGAAUACUUGAAGCUUUGCAUGUUUUUCCUUCCAAUUUGCACUCUGAAGCCUUUGUGCAUUCGGGUUCUAAUUUCCCCUUGCACUUUUCUUUGUUGUUUGGGUUCCAUCCGGUUUAAGAUUGUGUUACAUGGACUCCUUUUGUUUCUGCCUUGCUGCAAUUAAAUUUUCACUUUUUUUGUGGUGUCGGCGUUAUAACUACAAAAAUCCUUGGCAUCACAAUCAUAUUGGCUUUCAUGGUGCUUGCCGUAUAAUUUUUGUUUGACUUCUGCUGAGUUUGUUUGAUUUAUUUUUUUUUACGGUCAGACCCAACCUCGCCACGCAAUUUCCUUCCGGGGCUCAACAUCCGGUGGGUUUUCACUGUGCGGGUUUCUCUUUUGAGGUCAUGGGGUGCGUGAGUGGGCGGAAUAAAGGGUCGGUGUGUUGUGUGUGGGUUUUUCUCUCACUCUCUUCCUCCUUCCCUGUCCGUGCAUCUCGACGCUGGCGAUGGAAAUGGGGUGCCCCCACCCGUCUUGAAACACGGACCAAGGAGUCAAACAGACGCGCAAGGGAGGAGUAUGUAUGUGAGAACUCUUUUCUCGUACUGAAAGGGAGGUGUGAUUUUGCACCCGUGGCGUGCGCAAUUUCUCUUUUUUGUGUUUUUGCCCAACGCCGGCCGGCCCCCCGUGGGCUGCGCGCGAGUGUGCCUGUUUGGACCCGAAAGGUGGUGAGCUAUGCCUGAACAAGGUGAAGCCCGGGGAAACCCCGGUGGAGGCCUGUAGCGAUGCUGGCGUGCAAAUCGCUCGUACGAUUUGGGUAUCGGAGCGAAAGACUCAUCGAACAACCUAGUAGCUGGUUCACGUCGAAGUUUCCCUCAGGAUAGCCGGUGCUUGUCUUUAAGAAGUACUGUGCGGUAAAGCAAAUGAUUAGAGGCAUUGGUGUUCUUGUAAUAUCGACCUGUUCUCAAACUUUAAAUGUACAAACAACCCAGCCUUAGUUAUUUUAACAAGGCUUUUGGGUACAUAAGAAUUGAGGCACCAAGUGGGCCUUCUUCGGUAAGCGGAGCAGGCGAUGCGGAAUGAACCGCUUAGGGAUAUGUGGCGUCAAAACUUGUGGGCUCAUUCUCGAUACGUGAAAAGGGUUUUGGUGAAUAUGGGCAGGUGGACGGUGGCCAUGGAAGUCGGCAUCCGCUAAGGAGUGUGUAACAACUCACCAACCGAAUCCACCGGCCCCGAAAAUGGAUGACGCUUAAGCCCCAUGUGCGUGAUUGCCCAUUAUUCCUCUGGUGAGGGCGGCUAUAUUUCUUUGUGAGAAAGUGUAGCCCUCCCGAUGUAGACGUGGCGCGGGGGUGAGGACGAAGCCGAUGGCGCGAGCCUCGGAUGGACCCGCCUCUAGUGCAGAUCUUGGUUGGCGUAGCAAAGAUCUAACGGAAUAUUUUUUCUUAAAUGCAACGUUGGAUACUGGAGCAGGGAAGGAUUUCGUGCCAACGACACUCGUACACGAGUUGUUCGGUCACUGAGCACAACGUUACACCGUUUUGUUAGGAAAGUGAAGGUGGUCGGCGCACUUCUCCCUUUUUUGGGGUUUGUGUGUUUUACCGGCUUAUCUGAAAAGGGGCAACAGAGAACCUGGGAUGAUAUUCCAAAAAGAAAUUGCAUGUGGGACAGAAAAAUAAUACAACAAAACAAAGAUGAAUAGCCAUGUGUGUGUGAGUGAUUGUCGUUUUAUACACAUAUAUAAUUGUUAUCACGCAGUUAUAUAUAUAUUAUUACCAACACACGCUCUUCACAACUGAGCUGUCUUUUUGCUUUAUGUGAAUAAACUGUGGAAAUGCGAAACACUUGCCAUGUGACCCAUCCAUCCUCCCACGGUGAGCUUUCUUUUCACCAUAAUCCACAUCUCCGGCCUUGCUGGGGCUUGGGCCUCUCGACUUCUCGCGUUACUCGGAGCGGGGGCUCAAGAUUGAAAAAUGCAGCUCACCCUACGUACUGUCCUUUGUUGUGAGUUCGGCGCAUUAAAGCAAAAACCUGGGGUGUUAUGGAAAAUGAAAACAAAAAUCAUAUAUUAUAUAUUUGCGUAAUAUAUGUUUUUGUUUUGACAACAAAAUAAAUUCCCAACUGCAGACCGUACUCAUCACCGCAUCAGGUCCCCAAGCAUCGAAUGCUCUGGUA